ACGGGAGGCAGCAGUGGGGAAUAUUGGGCAAUGGGGGAAACCCUGACCCAGCAACGCCGCGUGAAGGAAGAAGGCUUUCGGGUUGUAAACUUCUUUUAAGAGGGGCGAACACAAUGACGGUACCUCUUGAAUAAGCCACGGCUAACUACGUGCCAGCAGCCGCGGUAAUACGUAGGUGGCGAGCGUUAUCCGGAUUUACUGGGUGUAAAGGGCGCGUAGGCGGAGCGGCAAGUCAGAUGUGAAAUCCAUGGGCUUAACCCAUGAACUGCAUUUGAAACUGUCGCCCUUGAGUGUCGGAGAGGUAGACGGAAUUCCUAGUGUAGCGGUGAAAUGCGUAGAUAUUAGGAGGAACACCAGUGGCGAAGGCGGUCUACUGGACGAUAACUGACGCUGAGGCGCGAAAGCGUGGGGAGCAAACAGGAUUAGAUACCCUGGUA
rnacentral:rRNA from 1 species